UAGGGAAUCUUCGGCAAUGGGGGCAACCCUGACCGAGCAACGCCGCGUGAGUGAAGAAGGUUUUCGGAUCGUAAAGCUCUGUUGUAAGAGAAGAACGUGUGUGAGAGUGGAAAGUUCACACAGUGACGGUCACUUACCAGAAAGGGACGGCUAACUACGUGCCAGCAGCCGCGGUAAUACGUAGGUCCCGAGCGUUGUCCGGAUUUAUUGUGCGUAAAGCGAGCGCAGGCGGUUGAAUAAGUCUGAAGUUAAAGGCAGUGGCUUAACCAUUGUUCGCUUUGGAAACUGUUAAACUUGAGUGCAGAAGGGGAGAGUGGAAUUCCAUGUGUAGCGGUGAAAUGCGUAGAUAUAUGGAGGAACACCGGUGGCGAAAGCGGCUCUCUGGUCUGUAACUGACGCUGAGGCUCGAAAGCGUGGGGAGCAAACAGG
rnacentral:rRNA from 1 species